rnacentral:rRNA from 1 species
UGGGGAAUAUUGCACAAUGGGCGCAAGCCUGAUGCAGCCAUGCCGCGUGUAUGAAGAAGGCCUUCGGGUUGUAAAGUACUUUCAGCGGGGAGGAAGGUGUUGUGGUUAAUAACCACAGCAAUUGACGUUACCCGCAGAAGAAGCACCGGCUAACUCCGUGCCAGCAGCCGCGGUAAUACGGAGGGUGCAAGCGUUAAUCGGAAUUACUGGGCGUAAAGCGCACGCAGGCGGUCUGUCAAGUCGGAUGUGAAAUCCCCGGGCUCAACCUGGGAACUGCAUCCGAAACUGGCAGGCUUGAGUCUUGUAGAGGGGGGUAGAAUUCCAGGUGUAGCGGUGAAACGCGUAGAGAUCUGGAGUAAUACCGGUGGCGAAGGCGGCCCCCUGGACAAAGACUGACGCUCAGGUGCGAAAGCGUGGGGAGCAAACA